rnacentral:lncRNA from 1 species
AAUUAUGCAGAUUUAUGCACGACGCUACUACACUCGCACAAACUGAGAAGAUUUAGUUCAUUGAGAAUGGAUGGAAACUGAUGAAGAGCUGGAAGGAGCUAACUGAUGAGUAGACAUUACAACAUUUCUUAUAUUUUCAAGAUGAAGCUGAAAGUCCCAUGCAGGAUGAUGCUUCUCUACAGUGGAUGAUGAAAGCAUGCUGAUUACAAACCCAGGAGAGGAAUAAAGAACAGAUAUUGACAGAAUCAUAUCUAGAGAUGUGGGCCUACUGCACUUCAUACAAGCAAGUGUGCUAAUAUACCAUACUUGGGUUAUCAUCACAGCCCUUUCUUCUGAAAACUAGCCUACAACUUCAUCGAUGAAUGCAGAAGACAUCUACAUGGGACUACGUCUUAAAGAUGCCC